GGGGGUUGCUCUUCUCCUUCGGAUCGUCCGGCACGUGCCUGCCGGGAAAGAGGCUUGUU
rfam:Kocuria sp. SM24M-10 KSP00110, whole genome shotgun sequence.